AAUAUUGGGCAAUGGGCGCAAGCCUGACCCAGCAACGCCGCGUGAAGGAAGAAGGCUUUCGGGUUGUAAACUUCUUUUCUGAGGGACGAUAGUGACGGUACCUCCGGAAUAAGCCACGGCUAACUACGUUCAAGCAGCCGCGGUUAUACGUAGGUGGCAAGCGUUAUCCGGAUUUACUGGGUGUAAAGGGCGCGUAGGCGGGGAUGCAAGUCAGAUGUGAAAUCUAUGGGCUUAACUCAUAAACUGCAUUUGAAACUGUAUCUCUUGAGUGCUGGAGAGGUAGAUGGAAUUCCUUGUGUAGCGGUGAAAUGCGUAGAUAUAAGGAAGAACACCAGUGGCGAAGGCGAUCUACUGGACAGUAACUGACGCUGAGGCGCGAAAGCGUGGGGAGCAAA
rnacentral:rRNA from 1 species